rnacentral:misc_RNA from 1 species
GAUGAAGAACGCAGCGAAAUGCGAUAAGUAAUGUGAAUUGCAGAAUUCAGUGAAUCAUCGAAUCUUUGAACGCAUCUUGCGCUCCUUGGUAUUCUGAGGAGCAUGCCUGUUUGAGUGUCAUUAAAUUCUCAAUUACACUGACUUUGAAUUGGUGUGGCUUGGAUUUGGGGGGAAAAUUGUUGUGGGCUUUUUGUAUAGUCUGCUCCCCUGAAAUUGAUUAGCGGUACCUUUGUGGAACUGUCUACAGGUGUGAUAAUUAUCUACAUCUUAGACAUCUGCUGGAAUGCUGCUUUCUAAACCUUACUUGUAUUGACAAUCUUGACCUCAAAUCAGGUAGGACUACCCGCUGAACUUAAGCAUAUCAAUAAGCGGAGGA